AUUGAACGCUGGCGGCAGGCCUAACACAUGCAAGUCGAGCGGAUGAAGGGAGCUUGCUCCUGGAUUCAGCGGCGGACGGGUGAGUAAUGCCUAGGAAUCUGCCUUGUAGUGGGGGAUAACGUCCGGAAACGGGCGCUAAUACCGCAUACGUCCUGAGGGAGAGAGUGGGGGAUCUUCGGACCUCACGCUAUCAGAUGAGCCUAGGUCGGAUUAGCUAGUUGGUGGGGUAAUGGCCUACCAAGGCGACGAUCCGUAACUGGCCGAGGAGGCGGAUCGGUCAACAUGAACUGGAACACCGUCCAGACUCCUACCGGAGGGAACAGUGGGGGAUUGUUGACAAUGGGCGGAAAGCUGGACCCACCCAGCCGGGGGGUGUGAAGAAGUCCUCCGAUUGGUAAGGAAAUUUAGUUGGGGAGGAGGGGAAUAAGUUAAUACCUUGCUUGUUUGAAGGUACCAACAGAAUAAGCACCGGCUAACUUCGUG
rnacentral:rRNA from 1 species